AUGUCAUGAUCUUCUGAAUCAGACUGUUUUAUCGCCAUAGGGAGAUCCUUCCACAAAACACGUGCAUGAUGAGAGAAAGCUGUGUGGCCUGCAGAUUUUUACUCACCCUAGGGACACAACGUAGUCCUACACCCUGAGAAUGCAGAGCCCGGGCCGGUACGUAGGGUUUAAUUAGGUCAGCUAAGUAGGGAGUUGCUAGUCUGU